rnacentral:rRNA from 1 species
GACGAACGCUGGCGGCGUGCUUAACACAUGCAAGUCGAACGGAAAGGCCCUGCUUUUGUGGGGUGCUCGAGUGGCGAACGGGUGAGUAACACGUGAGUAACCUGCCCUUGACUUUGGGAUAACUUCAGGAAACUGGGGCUAAUACCGGAUAGGAGCUCCUGCUGCAUGGUGGGGGUUGGAAAGUUUCGGCGGUUGGGGAUGGACUCGCGGCUUAUCAGCUUGUUGGUGGGGGAGUGGCUUACCAAGGCUUUGACGGGUAGCCGGCCUGAGAGGGUGACCGGCCACAUUGGGAAUGGGAAACGGCCCGGGCGCAUAAGGGGGGAAAGGGGGGGGAAUAUUGCCAAAGGGGCGGAGGCCUGAUACAGCAACGCCGGGUGGGGGAUGACGGCCUUCGGGUUGUAAACCGCUUUCGCUUGUGACGAAGGGUGAGGGCGGGAAAGGGGUAAAAAAGCCCCGGCUAACUACGG